rnacentral:ncRNA from 18 species
UUCUUAUCAAGAGAGGUGGAGGGACUGGCCCAAUGAAGCCCGGCAACCGGUUGUUUCAACAUGAUGCUAAUUCCAGCAGAGCGAAUUGCUCUGAGAGAUAAGAA